rfam:Picea glauca, whole genome shotgun sequence.
AUUUAAUAUAAUUCCAACAAUUUUAAUUCACCAUAUCCCAUUAAUAAUAUGCAGUUAAGAACGCUUGGUAUAGAGUAGUAUUGGGAUGGGUGACAUCCCCGGAAGUCCUGGCCUUUUACAUG